rnacentral:rRNA from 1 species
GGGCCCGCACAAGCAGCGGAGCAUGUGGUUUAAUUCGACGCAACGCGAAGAACCUUACCAGGUCUUGACAUCCAGUUAAAGCGUAUGAAAGUACGUGUCUUUUCGGAGGAACUGAGACAGGUGGUGCAUGGUUGUCGUCAGCUCGUGUCGUGAGAUGUUGGGUUAAGUCCCGCAACGAGCGCAACCCUUGUAGAUAGUUACUAACGCGUGACGGCGAGGACUCUAUAUAGACUGCCGUGGACAACACGGAGGAAGGUGGGGACGACGUCAAAUCAUCAUGCCCCUUAUGACCUGGGCUACACACGUGCUACAAUGGCCGACACAGAGAGGAGCGAAGUCGUAAGGCGGAGCGGAUCUCAAAAAAGCGGUCGAAGUUCAGAUUGUGGGCUGCAACCCGCCCACAUGAAGCAGGAGUUGCUAGUAAUCGCAGAUCAGCAUGCUGCGGUGAAUACGUUCCCGGGCCUU